UUCUUAUUAGACGUUGAUCGUCACGUGUCGUAUUUUUUAUUGAACAUUAUUUUCAUGCACCUAAUUAAUGUCAACCUUUAAUAAAAUCGUAACACGUGUCGAUCAAUGUCCAAUAAAAAUGCGACAUGUGAUGGUCAAGGUAA
rnacentral:pre_miRNA from 1 species